AACGAACGCUGGCGGCGUGUUUAAGACAUGCAAGUCGCACGGUGUCAUUUUGGUAGCAAUACUUGAAUGGCAUAGUGGCGCACGGGUGAGUAACACGUGAAUUACAUGCCCUGUAGAGGGGGAUAGCCCAGGGAAACUUGGAUUAAUACCCCAUGGUCUCGCAAGAGUAAAGGUGGCCGCAAGGCUGUCGCUACAGGAUUGGUUCGCGCCCUAUCAGCUUGUUGGCGGGGUAACGGCCCACCAAGGCUACGACGGGUACCUGGUCUGAGAGGAGAAUCAGGCAAACUGGAACUGAGACGCGGUCCGGACACCUGGGGGGGGCAGAAGUCCAGAAUAAUUCACAAUGGGGGCAACCGUGUGGGUGCAACGGCGGGUGGAGAAGGACGGUCUUCGGAUUGUAACCUCCUGUCAUCCGGGGGUAAGACCGGGGAGUUAUAGCUCAAGGGUUUGAUAGUACCGGAAGAGGAAGGGACGGCUAACUUCGUGCCAGCAGCCGCCGUAACAC
rnacentral:rRNA from 1 species